AUCUUUGCGCUUGGGGUAAUGACGCAGCUAAUGAGGUUCUAGCCGAGGCGCGUCUAUUGCUGGUUGAAAACUAUUUCCAAACCCCCUCUUAGGCCUAGGUUCUGCCCUAGCCUUAGAGAAUUUAUGGAUGGGCUCCCUUUGGGGUAAAGUC
rfam:Lupinus angustifolius cultivar Tanjil chromosome LG03, whole genome shotgun sequence.